rnacentral:rRNA from 1 species
CUACGUGCCAGCAGCCGCGGUAAUACGGAAGGUCCAGGCGUUAUCCGGAUUUAUUGGGUUUAAAGGGAGUGUAGGCGGUUUGUUAAGCGUGUUGUGAAAUUUAGGUGCUCAACAUUUAACUUGCAGCGCGAACUGUCAGACUUGAGUACACGCAACGUAUGCGGAAUUCAUGGUGUAGCGGUGAAAUGCUUAGAUAUCAUGAAGAACUCCGAUUGCGAAGGCAGCGUACGGGAGUGUAACUGACGCUUAAGCUCGAAGGUGCGGGUAUCGAACAGGAUUAGAUACCCUGGUAGUCCGCACAGUAAACGAUGGAUGCCCGCUGUUAGCGCCUGGCGUUAGCGGCUAAGCGAAAGCAUUAAGCAUCCCACCUGGGGAGUACGCCGGCAACGGUGAAACUCAAAGGAAUUGACGGGGGCCCGCACAAGCGGAGGAACAUGUGGUUUAAUUCGAUGAUACGCGAGGAACCUUACCCGGGCUUGAA